rnacentral:rRNA from 1 species
AUUGAACGCUGGCGGCAUGCUUUACACAUGCAAGUCGAACGGCAGCACGGGUGCUUGCACCUGGUGGCGAGUGGCGAACGGGUGAGUAAUACAUCGGAACAUGUCCUGUAGUGGGGGAUAGCCCGGCGAAAGCCGGAUUAAUACCGCAUACGAUCUACGGAUGAAAGCGGGGGACCUUCGGGCCUCGCGCUAUAGGGUUGGCCGAUGGCUGAUUAGCUAGUUGGUGGGGUAAAGGCCUACCAAGGCGACGAUCAGUAGCUGGUCUGAGAGGACGACCAGCCACACUGGGACUGAGACACGGCCCAGACUCCUACGGGAGGCAGCAGUGGGGAAUUUUGGACAAUGGGCGAAAGCCUGAUCCAGCAAUGCCGCGUGUGUGAAGAAGGCCUUCGGGUUGUAAAGCACUUUUGUCCGGAAAGAAAUCCUUGGCUCUAAUACAGUCGGGGGAUGACGGUACCGGAAGAAUAAGCACCGGCUAACUACGUG